UACGAAGGGGACUAGCGUUGUUCGGAAUUACUGGGCGUAAAGGGCGCGUAGGCGGCCUACUAAGUCAGACGUGAAAUCCCCCGGCUUAACCUGGGAACUGCGUCUGAUACUGGAAGGCUUGAGGAUGGGAGAGGGAUGUAGAAUUCCAGGUGUAGCGGUGAAAUGCGUAGAUAUCUGGAGGAAUACCGGUGGCGAAGGCGGCAUCCUGGACCAUUACUGACGCUGAGGCGCGAAAGCUAGGGGAGCAAACGGG
rnacentral:rRNA from 1 species